CAGGUAAGAGGCAGACAGGAAAGAGGCAGACAGGAAAGAGACAGACAGGUAAGAGGCAGACAGGAAAGAGGCAGACAGGAAAGAGACAGACAGGUAAGAGACAGACAGGAAAGAGGCAGACAGGAAAGAGGCAGACAGGAAAGAGACAGACAGGUAAGAGACAGACAGGAAAGAGGCAGACAGGAAAGAGGCAGACAGGAAAGAGACAGACAGGUAAGAGACAGACAGGAAAGAGGCAGACAGGAAAGAGACAGACAGGUAAGAGACAGACAGGUAAGAGACAGACAGGUAAGAGGCAGACAGGAAAG